AUUGAACGCUGGCGGCAGGCCUAACACAUGCAAGUCGAACGAGUGGCGGACGGGUGCGUAAUGUCUGGGAAACUGACCGAUGGAGGGGGAUAUCUACUGGAAACGGUAGCUAAUACCGCCUACCAUCGGAUGUUCCCAGAUGGGAUUAGCUAGUAGGUGGGGUAACGGCUUACCUAGGCGACGGUCCCUAGCAGGUCUGUGAUGAUGACGAGCCACACUGGAACUGAGACCGGGCCCAGACGCAUGCGGAAGGGAGCAAUAGGCAAAAGUGCACAAUGAGCGCGAGCCAGAGGGAAACAUGCGGAAUGUAUGAAGAAGACCGGCGGGUGAUAAAAUACUUUCAUCGGAGAGGGGUUACCGGCAGAAAAAGCACCGGCUAACACCGGGCCAGCAGCCGCGUUAUUU
rnacentral:rRNA from 1 species